GACUAGAGUCAAGAACAGCCCACAACGGUUCAAAGUAAAGAAUGAAUGUCAGUGUUGCUGGACUGUGAGAUGUCACGUUGUCCUCUUUGAAUAUGAGGUCCGAAUCAACACUGGGUCAUCAGAGAUGCUGAGCCAAAAAAUCAAGGACUUGCAAGCUCCUGAUUUAAAAACGAAAUUAAUACUUUGUUUAAUUUCCUAUCCUUUUUGUUUGUCAAUCCCAAACAUUUAAUUUAGGACUAUUUCUGCUGAAUAAACCUCCCAACAUAUUCCAGUUCACCUGUUUCAACCGUCUCAAUGGCAUUUUUAAUGAAAAAGAAGAGGUUCAAGUUUCAAAUCCAUUUUACAUUGGACGAGCUCACGGCCGUACCGUUUGUCAAUGGGGUACUUUUUUGCAAGAUCCGAUUGUUGGACGGUGGGGACUUUGCCGUCUCAUCAUCCAGGGAGGAGGUCCAACAGAACUGUGUUCGUUGGAAGAAGAAGUUCUCCUUCAUCUGUAAGAUGAGUGCCAGUCCCACCACUGGAGUCCUGGACCCCUGCAUCUGCAGGGUCUCUGUACGCAAGGAGCUCAAAGGAGGAAAGACGUUUUCAAAGCUGGGCUUUGCUGACCUCAACAUGGCGGAGUUUGCUGGCUCAGGCUCCACUGUGCGCUGCUGUAUCCUCGAGGGCUACGACACUAAGAACACUCGUCAGGACAACUCCAUUCUCAAGGUUACUAUUGGAAUUACACUUUUGUCGGGGGAUCCUUGCUUCAAAACGCCCCCCAGCACAGCCAAGUCCAUCUCGAUCCCGGGCCAGGACCCCUCCCUGCAGCUGGACUGUAAAGGCGAGGGCACCGAUGCCAACUCAAACCCUCCCCCAGGGGGCGUCAUCAGGACAUCAUCAGGACGGCCCCUCAAACCCAGACUCCCCUCAGCUCCCCUCAACUCUGGUCUACCCGAGCAGAUGGAGCAGAGCCUGCCCAGCCCAGAUGAGGUCUUCCACAUAGGACACUCCCGGAACUCCAGCUAUGCCAGCCAGCAGAGCAAGAUAUCAGGGUACAGUACGGAGCACUCUCGCUCCUCCAGCCUAACAGACCUCACACACCGGCGUAACACCUCCACAAGCAGUAGCACUUCUGGGGGCCUGGCCACCCCCACCCAGACCCCCCACGCACAUGCACACGCCCUCGCCAACCCCCACCCCCUUGCAGCAGACCCCCAGACAACCGGAGAGCCUGGCACCAAGUGUGAGAGACCCCCGCGGCCACCGCGGCCCAUCCUGCUCUCCAACAGACCCUCCAGGAGGAAGAAGGACACGGUUGAGAGUCAACCCACCUGGGUGGAUGAUACGCGCAUCGACGCCGACGACAUCGUGGACAAGAUUAUCCAGAGCCAGAACUUUGCCGAUGUCAGCGGCCAUGAAGAAGACAGCAACCUCAGAUUGUUUGUCAGCAAAGAUGGAACUACAGCCCUAAGUGGGUUACAACUGGGGAACAAGGUGACUGCUGGCGUCUUUGAGCCAGUGGUGAUCGAGAGCCACUAGCGAUGAGUGUGUGUGUGUUCACACAAAUGCACAUACCCCUGUCUUUUGAGUUACACCACUUCAACAAACACCACUAAACAACAUAUGUAACCCUUUAAUGAGAUAUUUACGGUGAUGGUGGUGGGAGGUGUAAUUUAUGAAUAAUCCAUUCAUGUAGAAAACGUUUUUAUAUUCAUGCUUUCAUCUGGGGGACCAUAGGUGUAAAGUGUGCAAACUACUUGAUAGAGAGAGAAAUGGGAAACCAUUGCACCGUGGGAGUUGUAGUGAAACACUGAAAAUCAGGAAAAAGCUUGCCACACAGGUUGCGUUGGAGGCAAAUGUGGCUGCCUCAAAAAGUUGGAAUGUUAUGAUUUAUCCUGUUUGUAUCAUUUUUGAACAAUGUUUGUGUAUGAUAAUGGUUGGGGAUACAUUUAGUUAUUCAAAUAACAAAUAUAAAUUCAAAUGAGGGGAGAUUACGUUAUCAAAGAAAGACUUGGUUACAAACUACUAAAUAGAGAAAUUGAACAGGCCAUUUGAACUAGGCUUGAAUGGGUGGUUUUCAAUGUGAAAUGUUCUAUAUUUGAUGACCCCUUGCAAUCCCCCGAUUUCAGAAACCGUACCAGACCUGGGGUCAAAAUUACGUUAUAGCCCAAAGAACCCAUGUUAUAGAAUAAAAUUAUAUAUACAUUAUAGAAUAUAUUAUAAAUGGCAGAAUGUUUUAGAAUAUAGGCUUAUAUAUAAUAUGAUCAUAGAUCAUGUUGAAAUACGGACCUCAGAAAGAGAAACGCGUGCACAUAUGGCUGGCCAUAUGCAACUGUGCAUACGGCAUGGUCAAUGAUUCAUCCAUUACUCUAGUCUAGGUAAAUGCAGGCAGGAUUGGUAAUCAAUUACUGUGGUACAGGUAAAUGCAGGAAGGAUUGAUAAUUGAUUACUGUAGUCUAGAUAAAUGCAGGCAGGAUUGGUAAUCGAGUACUGGAGUCUAGGUAAAUGCAGGCAGGAUUGGUAAUCGAUUACUGUAGUCUAAGCCCUUGAUCCUCUCCUCCCCUGGGUCUUGUACAUAGUCUUCUUUACAUCCGUAAUGUGGGACACUAUCCUCAAGCUCACCAGCUGGCUUGGUGACUAUACCGUAAGUGGAAAAGUUGGAAAAUCAGAGGGGGACAUUUCUUUCUUUCUUUCUUUCCUUUCUUUCUUUCUUUCUUUCUUUCUUUCUUUCUUUCUUUCUUUCUUUCUUUCUUUCUUUCUUUCUUUCUUUCUUUCUUUCUUUCUGUCUGUCUGUCUGUCUGUCUGUCUGUCUGUCCUGUCCUGUCCUGUCCUGUCCUGUCCUGUCCUGUCUGUCUCAGUAGUUUUGUCCCUUGACUGUCGCUCAUUUGUCCUGUAUGUCAGACCCAAUUAUUUUUUUUGUGUCUGUCUGUCUGUCUCAGUAGUUUUGUCCCUCGACGGUCGCUCAUUUGUCCUGUAUGUCAGACCCAAUUAUUUUGUGUCACCAUGCCCAUGACAUCCCUCCAUGUUGUCAAGGGACUGUCGCUCAUUUGUCCUGUAUGUCAGACCCAAUAAUUUUGUGUCACCAUGCCCAUGACAUCCCUCCAUGUUGUCAAGGACUGGAGUUGUCAAUGAAUUAAGUUACUAGGUUUCUGGGAGAAAAAAAAUAAUCGUCUUGAUCUGCAAGGAAGCCCUUUUGUAUUUGUGUUCUCAACAAAUCAAUGCUUACAGUGAGACUCAAAAAGGAAACUCGACUGCAUAUUAUUUCAAAUAUGCUUUCUCAAUGCAAGCCAGGUCACUGAUUUUGAUUGAGUGGGGGCCCUUAAAUGGUUUGGUUACCGAAGUGGGUUACUAAAGAUGGCUGGCUAACUUAGUAAUCCUUCUUUGUGAAAUACCUUCUAUGUGGGCUUGGCUAGAACUGUCCAACUGUUGCCCUUCCACUAAGCCUCAAUAUCACCAGUCGUUAUCAAGCGUAAUGAACUGACAAUUGAAUAAGGGCUCUAAUGAUAAAACUGACAGUGGUAUCUGGUCAUCUUCAUUUAAUUGAACAAGCUAUUCUAUUUGCAGGGGAGAAAUGUAAUUUUAUUUCUGUCGCCCCCGGAUUUGGAUCCCGUUAGAAGAACAUUGCAUUGUGGGUAUGGUGUAGUCAGAGCCAAUCAGAGCUAACAAUGGAGGAUUUUGAGUAGAAACUCCCCUCUCAUCCCCAAAUGACAAUGGCCUCUUGUAUGUGUGUUUGUGCCUGCGCAUAUCUUUUUUAGGGAGGGAGUGGAAAAGAGGAAAUGUCCAUGUGUGUGUGUGUGUGUACUUCCGUGCAUUGUCUGUGUGUGUGUCUGUGCGUGUGUGUGUCUGUGUGUGUGUCUGUGCGUGUGCAAGUUGAAGAGCUUGCCACUCACCUGUCUCACGGUUCUUGACCCCUGAGUAACGUUUCAGUUGAUCUGAAAGCCCUCAGCAGGAAAAUGGACCUAAUGCUCGCGCCUUAGCCUGUCUUAUCGCCCUUAGCCUGUCUUAUCGCCCUUAGUCUGUUCAUUUGAAAUGUAUUUUAAAGGAAAAGUGCAAUAUGGGCUUUCAUCUACACACCUGUAGCUUCAACAUAGCUUCCUAACAAGGAUGUUUUUUUUUACAACCGACAUAAGGUGUAUUUCACUCUCCACCUUCCGUCGUUGUCAUUGUAGAUGCUGUGUGCAUACUGUAUGUGAAAAAAAAAGAAACAAUGAAUGCAUAAACUUUAACUUCACUGACGUGCAUACACAUGCAUGGGGAAAUGUUGACAGGUUUUCUUAGCUUUAUUUGUAUGUGUCAAGCUGAUAUGGACCAUUCAACUCUAUUUCAUCAAGUUUGAUUAUACAAGCCCUCUGUAACACAGUGAAUCUGUAUUUUAGCGUGAGCUUCUUUUACAACCAAACCAAUUGAUUUCUUUCAUUACACUGUUACACUGUCUAUCUCGUAGUAGUGUAGUCCCAAGCAUUUUAUUCAUGGUAAUGGUUAUAAUGGCAAACACUUGAUUCAUAUUUGACUUGUUUUAACUUUUACCAGCUGGCUGGUUUAUUUGUUCUAUGCAGCAGAGAUGUAUUGGUAAACCUGUACCUGUGCUCUACUUUGAAACAUUGAAAAAUCAAGUAUACAAAAAAAAAUUAUACACUAAAGAGUUGUAAUAAUUGGUUAUUUCUGAUUCCCCUGCUACUGUUUUUAUUUUUUACAAGAGGGCUCAUUGUAUAUUUCUUAAAUUGUUUGGGUUCUGUUUUCGUACAUUCUUGACUAUUUGUAACCUGUGAUUUUUCUAACAAACGAGUUGAACCAAUAUGUUAACAUGAGAUUCUGCUGUCAUGAAUGGAGCGCUAAGGAUUUUCUGCUGCAUAUUUGAAAUAUGAAUUAAUCAACACAUCACUAUGGAGGGUGAGGUUUCUCUGAUGCAACACAUCACUAUGGAGGGUGAGGUUUCUCUGAUGCAACACAUCACUAUGGAGGGUGAGGUUUCUCUGAUGCAACACAUCACUAUGGAGGGUGAGGUUUCUCUGAUGCAACACAUCACUAUGGAGGGUGAGGUUUCUCUGAUGCAACACAUCACUAUGGAGGGUGAGGUUUCUCUGAUGCAACACAUCACUAUGGAGGGUGAGGUUUCUCUGAUGCAACACAUCACUAUGGAGGGUGAGGUUUCUCUGAUGCAACACAUCACUAUGGAGGGUGAGGUUUCUCUGAUGCAACACAUCACUAUGGAGGGUGAGGUUUCUCUGAUGCAACACAUCACUAUGGAGGGUGAGGUUUCUCUGAUGCAACACAUCACUAUGGAGGGUGAGGUUUCUCUGAUGCAACACAUCACUAUGGAGGGUGAGGUUUCUCUGAUGCAACACAUCACUAUGGAGGGUCAGGUUUCUCUGAUGCAACACAUCACUAUGGAGGGUGAGGUUUCUCUGAUGCAACACAUCAUCAGAUAUUUGUCAUCGCUUUUCAGCCACUAUAUCACCUACAUUUUGUGGGUUGAAGAACUUGGUAGGUAAGAGGAUGGCAGUCAAGACAGAUUGCUCUCUGAAAGACCGAGUACUGUAAAUCACUUUCAUUGUUCAAUCAGAUAUUAAAAAUCAAUAAUUUCUUUGAAUAUCAUCAUUUGCAAACUCACAUGGACCUUUCCUAAGGCUAAUCAGCUCAGUAGGUAGGGGAACCAGAAUUUAAUGGGGACCAGAUAUACCAUUCCUCUGUCUGAAACCUUGGCUGUAUGAUAUUCAUGAUAACAGCACUUAGGUCUGGACUACUAACUUGACGUAACAUUUUAUCUAUUUCAAUUAUUUAUCCUCUAUUUCUUUUAUUUUUGUUCAUCUUUGUAAAGGGAUUUUAAAACUAUGCACACGAGUCCAAGACUCCGAGAGGUCCACCCAAACUCAUGACCUUAAGAAUUAUAAUAUUAAUAAUAAGAGAUGUAUAUGAUUAAAAAAGUCAACAGUUAAUGAAUUUAUAUCAAUAGACGACUAUUGAAAUGACUAUUUUUCUGAUUUUCCAGAAUUAUUUAGACAUUUAUUGUAAACACACAUACACAGGUAUUGCUCCAAAGUUUUCAUCUUUUUUUUUCUCCUAAAAUGCAUUUAUUCUAUCACAUUCAACUCACACUGUGACAUGAUGAAUUGGAACUAUAUCUGUACACACAUUGUAAUGUUUCCUAUUCAAGAUGGUAAAUGUCUAUUUGAACAAUUUAAAUGUCAUAUUUUGGGGAAAUAAAGCUGUUGUUGGGUA